AGUGAACGCUGGCGGUAGGCCUAACACAUGCAAGUCGAACGGCAGCACAGUAAGAGCUUGCUCUUACGGGUGGCGAGUGGCGGACGGGUGAGGAAUACAUCGGAAUCUACUUUUUCGUGGGGGAUAACGUAGGGAAACUUACGCUAAUACCGCAUACGACCUACGGGUGAAAGCAGGGGAUCUUCGGACCUUGCGCGAUUGAAUGAGCCGAUGUCGGAUUAGCUAGUUGGCGGGGUAAAGGCCCACCAAGGCGACGAUCCGUAGCUGGUCUGAGAGGAUGAUCAGCCACACUGGAACUGAGACACGGUCCAGGCUACUACGGGAGGCAGCAGUGGGGAAUAUUGGACAAUGGGCGCAAGCCUGAUCCAGCCAUACCGCGUGGGUGAAGAAGGCCUUCGGGUUGUAAAGCCCUUUUGUUGGGAAAGAAAAGCAGCAGGUUAAUACCCCGCUGUUCUGACGGUACCCAAAGAAUAAGCACCGGCUAACUUCGUG
rnacentral:rRNA from 1 species